AGUGAACGCUGGCGGUAGGCCUAACACAUGCAAGUCGAACGGCAGCACAGUAAGAGCUUGCUCUUACGGGUGGCGAGUGGCGGACGGGUGAGGAAUACAUCGGACUCUACUUUUUCGUGGGGGAUAACGUAGGGAAACUUACGCUAAUACCGCAUACGACCUACGGGUGAAAGCAGGGGAUCUUCGGACCUUGCGCGGGGGGAUGAGCCGGCGUCGGAUUAGCUAGUUGGCGGGGUAAAGGCCGACCAAGGCGACGAUCCGUAGCCGGCCUGAGAGGGUGUACGGCGACAGUGCGACUGAGAUACGGCCCAGACGCCGAGGGGGGGCAGCGGUAGGGAAUAGUGCGCAAUGGUCGCAAGACUGAGGCAGCGACGCCGCGUGGGGGAGGACGGCCUUCGGGUUGUAAACACCUUGCGCUAGGGACGAAGCGCAAGUGACGGUACCUGGAGAAGAAGCACCGGCUAACUACGUG
rnacentral:rRNA from 1 species